UAGUCGGGACCUAAGCUGAGGCCGAAAGGCGUAGGUGAUGGACAACAGGUUGAUAUUCCUGUACUACCGAUAACCGUUUGAGAGAAGGGAUGACACAGUAGGAUAAGCUAAGCACACUGUUGGUUAUGUGUGCCCAAGCAUUGAGGCAGUCAAAGUAGGCAAAUCCGCUUUGAUAAUGCUGGGAUGUGAUGGGGAGCGAAAUUUAGUAGCGAAGUAGCUGAUUUCACACUGUCAAGAAAAGUCUCUAUCGAGGGUAAAGGUACCCGUACCGCAAACCGACACAGGUGGGUGAGGAGAGUAGCCUAAGGCCAGCGAGAGAACUGUUGUUAAGGAACUCGGCAAAAUGACCCCGUAACUUAGGGAUAAGGGGUGCCACCAUCAGGUGGCCGCAGAGAAUAGGCCCAAGCGACUGUUUACCAAAAACAUAGGUUUCUGCUAAGUCGCAAGACGAUGUAUAGGAGCUGACGCCUGCCCGGUGCUGGAAGGUUAAGGGGAUCUGUUAGAG
rnacentral:rRNA from 1 species